CAUAAGCAUACUUGCUCAUCGGCAGGUAUAGAUACGCCCCUCGAUACACGGACACACUCACAGAACUUAUCCUUGCCCCUCUGCUCUUUUCCUACCAUCGGACACCGCUGAGUGCGGCCGCUCGUUGCUGCGCAGUUGCGCGAAGCUGACAAACCGGCGGCUUUCCUCUCCUCACCGCAGCCGACGCGCGCUUUGCCGAACGCGCGGAGCCUUCACGUAGAGAGGAGGCCGGCGAGGAGCGAGCGCAUUGCCCGCCUCAGCUUUGAGGUCACCGCCAAAAAAAAAAAAAAACAGAAAAAAGGGGUGCUCAUCUUCCGCUGUCUGCCGUGCGCUCGUGUGUGUGUAAUCUUUGCUGCGGAUACUGAAGUGCACGCUCUCGUCGAGGUCGCCGCUGAGAGUCGUCUCAUUUCUCCUUGGUGUUUUCGAGAAUCGGCCCCCUCCCCCCCCCCCCUCCACCACCCAUCCUAACCUCACCCUCCCCUAUCAUCAUCUCUUUUUGUCUUCUGCGCCUUUCCCAUCCCCUUUCCCUCAUCGUCCAAUCCAAACCCGUUGAGCGACGUCCCCCUCCCCAACACCUCACCCUCCCGGCUCACUACACACAG
rnacentral:misc_RNA from 1 species